UACAGAGGGUGCGAGCGUUGUCCGGAAUCACUGGGCGUAAAGGGCGCGUAGGCGGGCGAUCAAGCGUGCGGUGAAAGCUCGGGGCUCAACUCCGAGUCGGCCGUGCGAACUGGUUGUCUAGAGUCUGGUAGAGGUCGAUGGAAUUCCGGGUGUAGCGGUGGAAUGCGUAGAGAUCCGGAAGAACACCCGUGGCUAAGGCGGUCUCUAGUACGGUACUGACGCUGAGACGCGAAAGCGUGGGGAGCGAACAGGA
rnacentral:rRNA from 1 species